UAGGGAAUCUUCCGCAAUGGACGCAAGUCUGACGGAGCAACGCCGCGUGAGUGAAGAAGGUUUUCGGAUCGUAAAACUCUGUUGUAAGAGAAGAACAAAUUGUAGAGUAACUGCUACAGUCUUGACGGUAUCUUACCAGAAAGCCACGGCUAACUACGUGCCAGCAGCCGCGGUAAUACGUAGGUGGCAAGCGUUGUCCGGAUUUAUUGGGCGUAAAGGGGGCGCAGGCUGCUUCUUAAGUCUGAUGUGAAAGCCCACGGCUUAACCGUGGAAGUGCAUUGGAAACUGGGAAGCUUGAGUACAGAAGAGGAAAGUGGAAAUCCAUGUGUAGCGGUGGAAUGCGUAGAUAUAUGGAAGAACACCAGUGGCGAAAGCGACUUUCUGGUCUGUCACUGACGCUGAGGCCCGAAAGCGUGGGUAGCAAACAGG
rnacentral:rRNA from 1 species